rnacentral:tRNA from 1 species
GGGUCGUUAGCUCAAUUGGUAGAGCAACUGACUCUUAAUCAGUAGGUCCCGGGUUCGAUCCCCUGACGACCCACCA